GACGAACGCUGGCGGCGUGCUUAACACAUGCAAGUCGAACGGUAAGGCCCUUCGGGGUACACGAGUGGCGAACGGGUGAGUAACACGUGGGUGAUCUGCCCUGCACUUUGGGAUAAGCCUGGGAAACUGGGUCUAAUACCGGAUAUGACCAUGCGCUUCACGGUGUGUGGUGGAAAGCUUUUGCGGUGUGGGAUGGGCCCGCGGCCUAUCAGCUUGUUGGUGGGGUAAUGGCCUACCAAGGCGACGACGGGUAGCCGGCCUGAGAGGGUGACCGGCCACACUGGGACUGAGAUACGGCCCAGACGCCUACGGGAGGCAGCAGUGGGGAAUAUUGCACAAUGGGCGCAAGCCUGAUGCAGCGACGCCGCGUGAGGGAUGACGGCCUUCGGGUUGUAAACCUCUUUCAGUAGGGACGAAGCGCAAGUGACGGUACCUACAGAAGAAGGACCGGCCAACUACGUGCCAGCAGCCGCAGUAA
rnacentral:rRNA from 1 species